CGAGGGAGGAGAGACGAGGCCGCGAGCGACGGCGAGAAACCGCCAGAGAAAGAGUAGAGACCGAGGCAAGGGCGGCCGUAGAGACUGAGGCGAGGGCGGCACAGUGAUGCUGCGGGAUCGGCGAUGAGGCCGCAACUGCAAGUGAGGAAGGGCCGAAGGCGAGGCGGAGGAGGAGGAGAAGGAUCGAGAGGAAGAGGAGAGGAAGCGGGUCCUAUGGAGGUCGUCCGGCGAGGAGAUAGAGAUGGAUCGAGAGGAGGACCGUGCGGCGAGGGGAAAAAAGUGAGGAGAGGAAGGGGUUGCGAGGUCGUGCAGCGAUGGGAAAAAGUUUUUCGGUAGCUAGGGUUUUGGAAAGUCAAUGGGG
rnacentral:lncRNA from 1 species